rnacentral:lncRNA from 1 species
GGAUAAAUACACAUUAAACAGUAAUAGACGCUACAUUGGAUUAAGACAAAUGACAUAAAUCAAUAUAUAUCACUCAGAAUAGUACAAAUGAUACAAUACAUCGCCAAGAAUCACAUAAAAGAUUAAAAUUACAAAAGAAAAUGCAAAAACACACGCGGUAGAGACUAGUAGAAUAAAAUAGGUAAAAAUCACGCAGUUGGAAUCCGAAAGAUUAGUUGGAUGGAGGAGGUGAAAGUGUUGGAAUUGCAGGCAUGUUGGGAAGUGAAGGCAUUGGUGGCAGAGUCAUUUUCGGAACAGAGGGCAAUGUUGGCAAAGAUGGUAAUGGUGUUGCUGUUGGAAGUGUUGGCAAUGGUGGCAAUGCUGCAGGGAAAUUGGGA